AACGAACGCUGGCGGCAUGCCUAACACAUGCAAGUCGAACGAGACCUUCGGGUCUAGUGGCGCACGGGUGCGUAACGCGUGGGAACCUGCCCUUAGGUUCGGAAUAACUCCCCGAAAGGGGUGCUAAUACCGGAUAAUGUCUUCGGACCAAAGAUUUAUCGACUUUGGAUGGGCCCGCGUUGGAUUAGCUAGUUGGUAGGGUAAAAGCCUACCAAGGCGACGAUCCAUAGCUGGUCUGAGAGGAUGAUCAGCCACACUGGGACUGAGACACGGCCCAGACUCCUACGGGAGGCAGCAGUGGGGAAUAUUGGACAAUGGGCGAAAGCCUGAUCCAGCAAUGCCGCGUGAGUGAUGAAGGCCUUAGGGUUGUAAAGCUCUUUUACCCGGGGUGAUAAUGACAGUACCGGGAGAAUAAGCUCCGGCUAACUCCGUG
rnacentral:rRNA from 1 species